ACUGGCGCAAGGGUGAGUAACACGUAGGCAACCUACCCUGCAGUGGGGGAUAACACCGGGAAACCGGUGCUAAUACCGCAUGAUAUCCAAAAAUCGCAUGGUUUUUGGAUCAAAGAAAUCCCUGGCAACAGGGUAUCGCUGUAGGGGGGGCCUGCGGCCUAUUAGCUAGUUGGUAGGGUAACGGCCUACCAAGGCGAUGAUGGGUAGCUGGUCUGAGAGGAUGGUCAGCCACACUGGCACUGAGACACGGGCCAGACUCCUACGGGAGGCAGCAGUGAGGAAUUUUGGGCAAUGGGCGAAAGCCUGACCCAGCAACGCCGCGUGGGUGAUGACGUUCUGCGGAACUUAAAGCCCUGUUGGGGGGGAUGAAAUUCCUGCAUCGCAGGAAUCGACAGUACCCCCAAAGAAAGCUCCGGCCAACUCCGUGCCAGCAGCCGCGGUAAUACGGGGGGAGCGAGCGUUGUCCGGAUUCACUGGGCGUAAAGCGCGUGUAGGCGGAUUGGUAAGUCAGUGGUGAAAGCCCUCGGCUUAACUGAGGAAUUGCUGCUGAUACUGCCAAUCUUGAGUAUGGAAGAGGGAAGUGGAAUUCCUGGUGUAGCGGUGAAAUGCGUAGAUAUCAGGAAGAACACCGGUAGCGAAGGCGGCUUCCUGGUCCAUUACUGACGCUAAAACGCGAAAGCGUGGGGAGCAAACAGGAUUAGAUACCCUGGUAGUCCACGCCGUAAACGAUGGGUACUAGGUGUUGCGAGGUUAGUCCUUGCAGUGCCGAAGUUAACGCAUUAAGUA
rnacentral:rRNA from 1 species